CUGCCUUUAGUGUAAUGGAUAUCACGUAAGAUUCCGGUUCUUGAGAUAGCGGUUCGACUCCGCUAGGGCAGA
rnacentral:tRNA from 2 species